AACGCACAUUGCGCCCUUUGGUAUUCCGAAGGGCAUGCCUGUUCGAGCGUCAUUAUCAACCCCUCAAGCCCGGCUUGUUGUUGGACUCUUUUGUCGGUGGCCACCACCGACAGGUCCGAAAGAUAGUGACGUGUCGUGUCGGACCCGAGAUGCAACGAGCUUCACAGCACGCAUUGAAGUGGUCCGGCCGACCCGGUCUUACCCCUAUUAUUUCUCAGGUUGACCUCGGAUCAGGUAGGAAUACCCGCUGAACUUAA
rnacentral:misc_RNA from 1 species